UGAAAGAGACCCAAAAUUCCAAGUCCGAUUCCUUAAUCCACUAACCCCACCAAAAGCAUCCCUCCAAUCUCUCUCUUCCCUCUCUACACCAUCACUUUCUCUCUCAACAGUGGCUCCUGUCGCUCUCACUUGCGACUUUCCUACCACUUCCUUUACUCUUUCUCUCUCUAUCUUUCUGUAUUAUAUAUAAAUUAAGCUUUUUGUCUAUAUUAUUCGGAUGAAUCAAUCCUCUGGUGCUAAGGACUCUGAAGAAGAGUCUCCAGUCAAUUCUUCGGCGGCUCUCGAAGUGGCCAAAGGGGAGGAGACGGUUGAAGCGGGAGGAGGAGGAGGCGGCGGCGAAGAAGAGGAGGAGGAGGAGGCGGAGGAGGAGAAGGCGGACGAUCCGAUGGAGGAGGAUUCGGUGAAUCCGGCCACUGUUUUCUGUAUUAGGCUCAAGCAGCCGAGUUCCAAUUUGCAGCACAAAAUGAGUGUUCCCGAACUCUGUAGGAAUUUCAGUGCUGUUGCUUGGUGUGGAAAGCUAAAUGCUAUAGCAUGUGCAUCAGAAACUUGUGCAAGGAUUCCAAGUUCUAAUGCAAACCCACCAUUUUGGAUCCCUAUACAUAUUGUGAUCCCGGAGCGACCUACUGAGUGUGCAGUGUUCAAUGUCAUAGCUGAUUCUCCUCGCGAUUCUGUUCAGUUCAUUGAAUGGUCCCCUACUUCUUGCCCUCGUGCCUUGCUAAUAGCUAAUUUCCAUGGGCGGAUAACUGUCUGGACUCAGCCUUCUCAAGGGCCGGCAAACCUGGUCAGAGAUUCUAGUUGCUGGCAGCGUGAGCAUGAGUGGCGGCAGGAUAUUGCAGUUGUUACAAAGUGGCUAUCAGGGGUGUCUCCAUAUAGGUGGCUUACAUCAAGAUCCAUUGGUUCCACAAACUCAAAGUCAACUUUUGAGGAAAAGUUUCUUUCACAGCAGCCUCAAGCUCCAGCUGGAUGGCCAAAUUUUCUGUGUGUUUGCUCCGUUUUCUCUUCAGGCUCCGUGCAACUCCACUGGUCGCAAUGGCCUCCUGAUCAGAGUGGUGCAGCAUCAAAAUGGUUUUGCACGAGCAAAGGGCUCUUGGGAGCUGGGCCUAGUGGGAUCAUGGCUGCUGAUGCUAUCAUAACAGAUACCGGUGCUUUGCAUGUGGCAGGUGUUCCAAUUGUAAAUCCAUCAACUGUAGUUGUUUGGGAGGUCACACCUGGUCCUGGAAAUGGAUUUCAGGCAACUCCAAAGGCAAGUGCUAGCAACGGAGUACCACCUUCACUCAAUCCUCCUUGGGAUGGUUUUGCUCCUCUGGCUGCGUAUUUAUUUAGCUGGCAAGAAUAUUUGCUAUUAGAAGCAAAGCAAGGGAGAAAGCAUUCAUAUCAAUAUUAUAGCGACACAGUAUUACUUCAUUGUUCACCAGUGUCAAAUUUUUCUGCAUAUGUGAGUCCUGAGUCUGCAGCUCAAUCAGCAGCAACCACUACCUGGGGUUCUGGAGUUACUGCAGUUGCUUUUGAUCCAACUCGUGGCGGGUCUGUGAUAGCUGUUGUGAUAGUUGAGGGGCAGUACAUGUCCCCAUAUGAUCCAGAUGAGGGACCUUCAAUCACAGGAUUGAGAGUUCAACGCUGGGAAUCAUCUCUGCAGCCUGUUGUCCUCCACCAGAUAUUUGGAAACCCAACUUCCAGUUUUGGUGGGCAGCCACCUGUGCAGACUGUUUGGGUGACCAAAGUGAAUAAAUGCAUUCCACCAACUAAUGAUUUUAAAAGUCACCUAGCAGCUUUGGCUGGACUAACCUCUGAUGCCCGAAAGACAUCUGAUUCUGGUGUUGAGAAGGCAAAAAGGGUCAGUUUUGAUCCCUUUGAUCUGCCAAGUGAUGUUAGAACUCUCGCUCGAAUUGUGUAUUCUGCUAAUGGUGGUGAGAUUGCUGUUUCAUUUCUACGUGGUGGGGUCCACAUUUUUUCUGGAGCAAGCUUUACUCCUGUUGAUAGCUACCAUAUCAAUGUUGGUUCUGCGAUUGCUGUUCCUGCCUUCUCUUCUACAAGCUGUUGUUCAGCAUCUGUUUGGCAUGAUACCGGGAAGGAUCGUACUAUAUUGAAGAUAAUUCGUGUUCUUCCUCCUGCUGUUCCGAGUAGUCAAGUGAAAGCAAACUCGUCAACUUGGGAACGUGCAAUUGCAGAAAGGUUUUGGUGGAGCCUUUUGGUCGGAGUUGAUUGGUGGGAUGCUGUUGGCUGUACGCAGAGUGCUGCUGAGGACGGCAUUGUUUCACUGAACAGUGUUAUCGCAGUGUUGGAUGCGGAUUUCCAUUCUCUUCCUUCCACUCCGCAUAGACAACAGUAUGGUCCUAGUCUAGACCGGAUAAAGUGCCGGCUGUUGGAAGGUACUAAUGCCCAAGAGGUUAGGGCAAUGGUCCUAGACAUGCAAGCAAGGUUGUUGCUGGAUAUGCUGGGAAAAGGAAUUGAAUCAGCUCUGAUAAAUCCUUCAGCUUUGGUUGCUGAGCCAUGGCAAGCAUCUGGUGAAACCUUAUCUGGCAUUGAUCCUGAAUCAAUGGCUGUUGAACCAGCACUAGUUUUAAGCAUCCAGGCUUAUGUUGAUGCGGUCCUUGAUCUAGCAUCACAUUUCAUCACACGUUUGCGACGUUAUGCAAGUUUCUGCCGUACUUUGGCAAGUCAUGCUGUUACUGCAGGCACAGGUGGCAACCGGAGUAUGGUGGCUAGUCCUACCCAAAAUUCUGGAUCGACUGCAACGAGUCAGGGAGGUCAAGGUGGUACAGCUAGUUCCACUGGAAGCACUCAGAUGCAAGCUUGGGUACAAGGAGCUAUUGCAAAAAUUAGUAGCACUGCUGAUGGUGUUUCCAAUUCCACCCCAAAUCCUAUUAGUGGUCCUCCGUCCUUUAUGCCAAUAAGCAUUAAUACAGGAACAUUUCCAGGAACUCCAGCUGUUAGGCUUAUUGGGGACUGCCAUUUCCUACAUAGAUUGUGCCAACUUUUGCUUUUCUGCUUCUUCUUCCGUCGAACACAGUUGCCCCGCUUUAUUGGAGGUUCUCAGAGAAAUGCUGAUACAACUACGCAGAAACAUCCGUCUAGUGUUCCGGGAAAGGUAGAAGAGAUCAAUCCUAUGCCUACAAAAUCAACAUCAACUAUGGUUAGGUCAGAGGAAGUCCAGGCAGCUCGGGCUGGUCAAGUCAUCUCUGGAACUAAAGGACCCGAAGAAGGUCCUGUUAGCCGGUCAAGAUUAGGUUCUGGCAAUGCUGGUCAAGGUUACACAUUCGAGGAGGUGAAGGUCCUUUUCCUCAUACUUAUGGAUCUCUGUCGACGAACCGCGGGCUUAGCACAUCCCUUGCCAGUUUCUCAGGUGGGGAGCAGCAAUAUCCAGGUUCGCCUGCAUUACAUUGAUGGAAACUAUACCGUCUUACCAGAGGUUGUGGAAGCAUCACUCGGCCCACAUAUGCAGAAUAUGCCCCGGCCUCGUGGUGCAGAUGCUGCUGGACUGUUACUUCGUGAGUUAGAACUACAUCCUCCGGCUGAAGAAUGGCACAGGCGGAAUAUGUUCGGUGGGCCCUGGUCUGAUUCAGAGGAUAUGAGUCCUAUGGAUGACACUUCCAGGUUUACCUCUUUAACUGACCCACAGGAGCUGAACUAUUCAGAAAAUUGUGAUGUAAAUCAUGGAGCCCAUGGCUUGUGGCCAAGGAAGCGCAGGAUGUCUGAAAGAGAUGCAGCUUUUGGCUUGAACACUACGGUGGGUCUGGGAGCAUAUCUUGGUAUAAUGGGAUCUCGAAGGGAUGUUAUAACUGCUGUGUGGAAGACUGGUCUUGAAGGAGUCUGGUUCAAGUGCAUAAGAUGUUUACGGCAGAGUUCAGCUUUCGCUUCACCAGGUACCAACAAUCCACCUAAUCAGAAUGACAGGGAGAGUUGGUGGAUCAGCCGCUGGGCUUAUGGCUGUCCGAUGUGUGGUGGAACAUGGGUUCGAGUUGUAUAGAGGAUUACAUCGUGUCUUUUCUGUUAAAGGUGGGUUCGCAGCACUCACUUGAGGAAAAGUCCUGAGCUGGACAUUUAUAUAGUAGACCAGAAAAUGGUAUAAGAAAGACGAAGUAUAUCUGCAAUGAAGUUAUUUCUGCGGAAAUUGAUGUCAUGCACUUAAAGGUCUUAUCCCUUCUUUACUUGCAUACAUACUGGUGCAGUAAUUCUCAGACUAGAGAUUCUCUCCUGUUCAUCUGGUGAUACCUUAUAUUGCCUUUUUACAGUAUGAACUAAGGGGGAGAUUGAUCUUCAUUAUAGUCAAUACUUUGUGGCUUCUUAGGAGCUACGACAUGAUGGUCGGGCCUUUAAAGCACAUAAUCCAAUGACAUUACUGCUACUCUCCGAUGGAUCUUGAUUUCUAGUCACAGGAGAGGAGAAAAAAUGACAUUAGUAUUCUUCCUUUAGCUUUACCAUAGAAAAUUUGAAAAGUAGCUACUACCAGUUGUACAUCACAUUGGUUACUGAGAUUGUCUUGGAGAACGAAAUAACAAAGUUUAGCUGAAUUUACAUGCACGAGCAAUAUAGGUUGUAUAUUCCUGUGCAUAAGUUUAAUGGAUUGAUUCUGGUCACCACAUGCCUGAUAAAUCAAAUGGAUAUGUUCCGCUUAGCAGUUGCUGGUUGAAGCUAAUUUACUACUACAAUCAGAAGCAUGAUAGAAGUUCCUGAAAAUUCUUCCGAAGACAAAGUAUUGCAUAAACACUGACAUUGCGCUGCUGCUCAACCCUGCAGAUUCCUGUGGGGCUCGUUUUGAUAGGUUUGAUGCGUUGACAAGAGGCUGCUUUCUGAAGUUGUGGAAGCCCUUGAGAUCAUGCCAUGACAGAACUGUAUGCUCACUUCUGUUAGUUGUCGGGAGAUUUUCUUCACUAGCUAUAACUUGUAAGGAGGUAGAGCAGUUGUACAUUAUGAGAUACUAUACCUUAGCAUGAUCAAGUGAAUGCUGGUUUUGAAUAUAUUAUCCCAUUCAAUAUUAGUCUCGCUUAUAAUAUAGUUCAACAAAGUAAUUGCUCUCACGUUUUGAACCAGUAUCCUCCAAUGCUAUCUGUAGUCAGGUUUUUUUUUCGGUGCAUCAAAUGUGAAAUAUUUACUCGGAUAACAUUAAAAAGCUUGUUAUUAAAAUAUGGAUUGGACUAAAAA